UGCAAAAAUCCCUGCAAUGCUUGUGCACUGAAUCUCCUUUAUAAGAGCAAACGGAGCAAGAUGCUAGCAGGCCUCCUGAGCUUCAUGUCGGAAACUUUUUCACAGGAGCCCAAGUCUAUUGUGUACGAUAAACCAAGGGGUGCCGAAGGAGUUGGUUGCUAUGGUGGCAUCUCAUAAAUCAUCAAUUAUUGUCUGUUAUUAUGGAGGUGACAGCCUCAUAAAGAGAUUUGCAUUUUCGGCUAAUUUUAAGAUUUUUUCUGCAGACAUCAUUUGCUUUGUAAAAGAAAUGUCAUGACAACCAUAGAACACUUAAGCUUGUUAUCGGGUAGUCAGGCAUUCACUUGGUCCCUGUCGCUUUGGCAUUUGAGCAUCGCAGCCUCUUUUGCAUUAUUGAGUAGUUUAUCUUUACAGUUCAUAAAUAUAUUUCUAAACACGGGGACGGCAUAAUAGCAGAAUGGCGGCAAACGCAACCAGGGCUCCUGGUUGCCACGGCAACCUAAACUGAUCAAUUCCCUGUCACCAUUCUAAAAGAGGCACCACUCUCCUGCGGCCCCAAACACUAAUUACAAAUGCAGGCCCUUCGCUGGCAUGUUCAGCUUACAGAUUAAAGCAGUUCAUGCCUAAUUUAUCAUUUAACAUGUCCUCCCACAUUUGUAGUGCCGUGCAGAAUGAAUAAUAACUUCACUUGUUUACAGCAUUUUCAACUUAAUUUCACUAAUUAGUUUUGCAGUUGCAGGAAUUUCCAAGGGCUGCUAAGGCAGGCCCCGCACAUAGGUCCAGUGCAGGGCCUGUGCACAGGUCAUUGCCAAUCCCUCCAAGCGCAGCUGGUAAGUGAUAAGUUUCACAUGCAGGUUCCCUUCUUUCCCAAAAGCAUAGCUUUUCAAGCAGCUGGGAUUACCGAAGCAAAAAUACCAUGCCUUCCUCCUGCAAAACGGGCCCAAGUGGUGACACCUCGCUGGCCUCUGCCAUUGCACUUCCCAUCAACCUUCUAUUGAGUACAUGAGAUUCUGUCAUGUAGGAAUUAUGUUCAUAAGUUCACUGAUAAAAACAGGCCUUCACCAAAAAAGCUAAAGGAAUCAAAUCUGUCCGCACCUUGCUACUGCUCAGAAUGUGGAUCGCCAUGAAGACCCACGAAUGCUCUCCAGGUUCAUGCCUCACUUUAUGCUGCAGACUUUUAAGUUCAGGCGGGAAUACAAGACGAAGUCCAUUAUCUGAUCAGUGGCCACCCAGCCUACAUUCUGCUUCCCCAGAAUAAGUAAGUAUGGAUGUGAUGUCCUGCAUCUUGAAGGAAUGAACUGUCCUAAUUUGGGAAAAAGAAUAAAAAGAACCGCAGCAAGAAAGAGAGCUUGCGUGGUCGAAGUCGGCAAUCCAUGUGUCUCAUGGCAUAGAAUCUAGAAAAGAAACUGUCAAUGCUAAGCAUACAAAGAAUGUCCUACUUUGAAGAAUACUGCACUAUUAGAUAUAUCAGACAUUUCAAAUUUCAGUUUCCAAAAAAUUUGUUAGGCUAUUCAGAAGGAAAAAGAUUUCAAAUCUCUUUUUAGAAUUGAUAGCCAUCUCUGUGACUAUGGCACUUUCUCCACAGACAUUAACAAAGCACACCCAAAAGAGAUGAUUAAAAUGGUUACUAAA